GACGAACGCUGGCGGCGUGCUUAACACAUGCAAGUCGAGCGGUAAGGCCCUUUCGGGGGUACACGAGCGGCGAACGGGUGAGUAACACGUGGGUGACCUGCCCUCAGCUCUGGGAUAAGCCUGGGAAACCGGGUCUAAUACCGGAUAUGACUCCAUGACGCAUGUUGUGGGGUGGAAAGCCUUGUGCGGCUGGGGAUGGGCCCGCGGCCUAUCAGCUUGUUGGUGGGGUGAUGGCCACCAAGGCGACGGCGGGUAGCCGGCCUGAGAGGGCGACCGGCCACACUGGGACUGAGACACGGCCCAGACUCCUACGGGAGGCAGCAGUGGGGAAUCUUGCGCAAUGGGCGAAAGCCUGACGCAGCGACGCCGCGUGAGGGAUG
rnacentral:rRNA from 1 species